rnacentral:tRNA from 1 species
GGACUUGUAGCUUAGCACGGUAGAGCAACAGGCUUUUAACCUGUGUAAUAUGGGUUCAAAUCCCAUCAAGUCCU